rnacentral:rRNA from 1 species
AUUGAACGCUGGCGGCAGGCUUAACACAUGCAAGUCGAGCGGGGAAGGGUAGCUUGCUACCUAACCUAGCGGCGGACGGGUGAGUAAUGCUUAGGAAUCUGCCAUUUAGUGGGGGACAACAUUCCGAAAGGAAUGCUAAUACCGCAUACGUCCUACGGGAGAAAGCAGGGGAUCUUCGGACCUUGCGCUAAAUGAUGAGCCUAAGUCGGAUUAGCUAGUUGGUGGGGUAAAGGCCUACCAAGGCGACGAUCUGUAGCGGGUCUGAGAGGAUGAUCCGCCACACUGGGACUGAGACACGGCCCAGACUCCUACGGGAGGCAGCAGUGGGGAAUAUUGGACAAUGGGCGGAAGCCUGAUCCAGCCAUGCCGCGUGUGUGAAGAAGGCCUUAUGGUUGUAAAGCACUUUAAGCGAGGAGGAGGCUACUUAGAUUAAUACUCUAGGAUAGUGGACGUUACUCGCAGAAUAAGCACCGGCUAACUCUGUGCCAGCCGCCGCGGUAAGAC